AAAGUACCUGGACUUCUAUGCCCAUGCUUCUAGCAGCCAGCCUCCUAAAAUACCUCUAGUUGAAGCCAAAGUUAGAAUCCUUCUAUGAAACUACAGGAUUAAAAUGGGAUGGUUACAUGACCCAGGCUUGACCAAUCAGAUCAUCCAAACCCUUUGCCACAGUGAUUGGUCCAGGGAUACAUGCAUGAGCCAGCUCAGAGUCUCACUCUGUUGCUCAGGCUGAAGUGCAGUGGCAUGAUCUCGGCUCUGCAGCCUCCACCUCCCAGGUUCAAGUGAUUCUCCUGUCUCAGUCUCCCAAGUAGCCGGGACUACAGGCGCCUGCCAUCACGCCUGGCUGCUUUUUGUAUGUAUAGUACAGACGGGGUUUCACCGUGUUGGCCAGGCUGGUCUCAAACUCCUGACCUCAGGUGAUCCGCCCACCUCAGCCUCCCAAAGUGCUGGAAUUACGCCUAGUCAUUUAUUUUAAGUUCCCCUCACCAUAACCCAUGCUCCAUGUGAGACAGAUGUUAUUAUUUUGCUCUCUGUUGAGUUCCCAUCACCUGGCAUUUGAAGAUGCUCAGUAUAU
rnacentral:antisense_RNA from 1 species